AGUGAACGCUGGCGGUAGGCCUAACACAUGCAAGUCGAACGGCAGCACAGUAGGAGCUUGCUCUUACGGGUGGCGAGUGGCGGACGGGUGAGGAAUACAUCGGAAUCUACUUUUUCGUGGGGGAUAACGUAGGGAAACUUACGCUAAUACCGCAUACGACCUACGGGUGAAAGCAGGGGAUCUUCGGACCUUGCGCGAUUGAAUGAGCCGAUGUCGGAUUAGCUAGUUGGCGGGGUAAAGGCCCACCAAGGCGACGAUCCGUAGCUGGUCUGAGAGGAUGAUCAGCCACACUGGAACUGAGACACGGUCCAGACUCCUACGGGAGGCAGCAGUGGGGAAUAUUGGACAAUGGGCGCAAGCCUGAUCCAGCCAUACUGCGUGGGUGAAGAAGGCCUUCGGGUUGUAAAGCCCUUUUGUUGGGAAAGAAAAGCAGCAGGUUAAUACCCCGCUGUUCUGACGGUACCCAAAGAAUAAGCACCGGCUAACUUCGUG
rnacentral:rRNA from 1 species